rnacentral:tRNA from 8 species
GCGGAAGUGGUGAAAUUGGUAGACACGCUGGAUUUAGGUUCCAGUGCCGCAAGGUGUGAGAGUUCGAGUCUCUCCUUCCGCACCA